GCAUGCAAGUCGAGGGAGAACCAGUUGAUUCGUAAGAUUCGGCUGGGGAAACCGGCGAACGGGUGCGUAACACGUGAGGAACCUGCCCCGAAGACUGGGAUAGCCCGAGGAAACUCGGAUUAAUACCGGAUACCCUCUUUGGACCACAUGGUCUAUUGAGGAAAUGGUCCGCCGCUUCGGGAUGGCCUCGCGGCCUAUCAGCUUGUUGGUGAGGUAAUGGCUCACCAAGGCCGAGACGGGUAGCUGGUCUGAGAGGACGAUCAGCCACACUGGGACUGAGACACGGCCCAGACUCCUACGGGAGGCAGCAGCAGGGAAUAUUGCACAAUGGGCGAAAGCCUGAUGCAGCGACACCGCGUGCGGGAUGAAGGCCUUCGGGUUGUAAACCGCUUUCAGGAGGGACGAAAAUGACGGUACCUCCAGAAGAAGGCCCGGCCAACUACGUGCCAGCAGCCGCGGUAAUACGUAGGGGCCAAACGUUGUCCGGAUUUAUUGGGCGUAAAGGGCUCGUAGGCGGUUCAAAAAGUCGGUCGUGAAAGCCCGGGGCUCAACCCCGGGACGCCGGUCGAAACUGUUGUGACUAGGGUCCGGUAGAGGUGAGUGGAAUUCUCGGUGUAGCGGUGGAAUGCGCAGAUAUCGAGAGGAACACCGGUAGCGAAGGCGGCUCACUGGGCCGGUACCGACGCUGAGNAGCGAAGCAUGGGGAGCAACAGGAUUAGAUACCUGGUAGUCAUGCCGUAACGAUGAAACUAGGUGUGGCGGACUCAUUGACGUCUGCCGUGCC
rnacentral:rRNA from 1 species